rnacentral:lncRNA from 1 species
UACCUUUCACACCUCGAUACAUAAUUUGAAACUCAUGCUUUAUCUCAAAUUUUUGAAGUUUCAUCUUGAAUGAAAUAUAAAAGAAAGGGGGAGUAAUUCAAAAGGUCAAAUUGGAAACAUUUGGAUGAAAUAAGGGGAGACUUCACUCUCAAAUUUGAAAAGCUGAAAUUCAGCAACUUGAGCCCUUCUAAAACUAAUUUUUAGUUAAGUAUCAAUAGGCUCAUACUCAGUAUUUUGUAAUCAUCAAAAAGGGGGAGAUUGAGGAUGAUAGUGGUAUUUUGAUGAUUAAUACAAUGAUUAAGAGUAUGUUACAAGUUAAUUUGAUACAUCAUUAAUAAGUCCGUCACUCUCGAUACAUUAGUAUAAUGAGAUAAAGAUACAUUUCAUUGAUUAUUAAUGAGAUACAAUUUGCGAUAGGAAAGGGAUAGUGAAUUCUAAAUUCUAAUUCGGCAAAGCUUCAAGUGAGACAUACUCUUAAGUGGACAAUAGUAAUUUUCAUUGUUUGGAGCAUGUAGCACUACCAUGACAUAUAUUCAAAAUUGUUUAAAGUUUAUUUCAUUGAUUAUAUGGAUGAAUCUAACCUUAAGUUGCGGCAAAGUGUGGAUUGAGUCGACCCCAAGAUUGAUUGAGUCGACCCCGGCACAUCAAGAAACCAUCUGGCACACUUCUGCAAAAAUGGCACGGAUGAACAGUACUUGGGUCGACCCAAGUAAAGGAUGAGUCGACCCAAUCCU